rnacentral:rRNA from 1 species
UCGUAACAAGGUCUCCGUUGGUGAACCAGCGGAGGGAUCAUUACAGAGUUGCAAAACUCCCAACCCUUUGUGAAUCAACUGGACAGUUGCCUCGGCGGGAGGCCCUUCAGGGGGCUGCCCGCCGGAGGACCACUAAACUCUUGUAUAUUUGGCCUCUCUGAGUAAUUCUAAAAUGAAUCAAAACUUUCAACAACGGAUCUCUUGGUUCUGGCAUCGAUGAAGAACGCAGCGAAAUGCGAUACGUAAUGUGAAUUGCAGAAUUCAGUGAAUCAUCGAAUCUUUGAACGCACAUUGCGCCCGCCAGCACUCUGGCGGGCAUGCCUGUUCGAGCGUCAUUUCAACCAUCAAGCCCCAGGCUUGUGUUGGAGCCCUGCGGCUGCCGCAGCCUCCUAAAAGCAGUGGCGGGCUCGCUAUCACACCGAGUGCAGUAGAUUUCUCUUCGCUCAGGGCGUGUGGCGGGUUCCAGCCGUGAAACCCCCUACUUUUAAGGUGACCUCGGAUC